UGAGACUCAAUUGUGUCAAAUAGGCACAUG
rnacentral:piRNA from 1 species